rnacentral:lncRNA from 1 species
UGAAAUUCUGUCAUCGUCGUGUGUGUAGGUGGCAAGGAAGUCAGCGCAGGAGAAACCAACUUGGUAUAACUGGAGUUGUUUAAUAAAUAAUAAACAAACACGAACUCCAAAACCAACAUACAUAAAAAUAACAUGGGUAAAAAUACCCGUAGCUCACCAAUACAAAAAUACACGAAAUCAAUAACAAACAAAACAAUCUCGGACAAGGAUAAUAACAGUAAUAAACAGACUAUCUGAAUGUGAGGUUAACAGUAAUAAACAGACUAUCUGUAUGUGAGGUUAACAGUAAUAACAGUCUGUAAGUAUGUGAAGUUAACAGUAAUAACAGACUGUAUGUAUGUGAGGUUAACAGUAAUAACAGACUAUGUAUGUGAGGUUAACAGUAAUAACAGACUGUAUGUAUGUGAGGUUAACAGUAAUAACAGACUGUAUGUAUGUGAGGUUAACAGUAAUAACAGACUGUAUGCAUGUGAGGUUAACAGUAAUAACAGACUGUCUGUAUGUGAGGUUAACAGUAAUAACAGACUGCAUGUAUGUGAAAUUAACAGUAAUAACAGACUGUCUGUAUGUGAGGUUAACAGUAAUAACAGUCUGUAAGUAUGUGAGGUUAACUGUAAUAACAGACUGUCUGUAUGUGAGGUUAACAGUAAUAACAGUCUGUAAGUAUGUGAGGUUAACUGUAAUAACAGACUGUCUGUAUGUGAGGUUAACAGUAAUAACAGUCUGUAAGUAUGUGAGGUUAAC